AACGGGGUGAGGUUAACAACGGUGACCUUACCUUACCCCUUCGGAGUGGGGGGGAUAACCGGGGGGGAAACCCUUUGGCUUAAUACCCGCAAUGACACCUUACGGGUCGGAUAGGAGCCCAUGUCGCUUGAGGAGGGGGUCGCGGCGCGAUUAGUUAGUUGGCGGGGUAAUGGCCCACCAAGGACGAUGAUCGGUAUCCGGCCUGAGAGGGCGCACGGACACACUGGAGACUGAGACACGGUCCAGACUCCUACGGGAGGCAGCAGUGGGGUGAUUCUUGCGCAAGAUGGGGGUAGAACCCUGACGCGUAGCUCACGCCGUCGUGGCAGUGCAUGCAAGUCCUCUCGGGUACGUAAACUCCUUUCGAAUCGGGCACGAUGUAUGUACGGUUACCGGCUAGUAAGAAGUCACC
rnacentral:rRNA from 1 species